UACGGGGGGGGCAAGCGUUGUUCGGAAUUACUGGGCGUAAAGAGCUCGUAGGCGGCCAACUAAGUCAGACGUGAAAUCCCUCGGCUUAACCGGGGAACUGCGUCUGAUACUGGAUGGCUUGAGAUUGGGAGAGGGAUGCGGAAUUCCAGGUGUAGCGGUGAAAUGCGUAGAUAUCGGGAGGAACACCAGUGGCGAAGGCGGCGACCUGGGCCAAUACUGACGCUGAGGUGCGAAAGCGUGGGGAGCAAACAGG
rnacentral:rRNA from 1 species